UUACAGUGUAAAUAUAAUUACUGUGACAUAGAUUUGCUUUGGUUCACUGAGCUGGCAAUGAGCAAGCUUUACAGCAUUGUAUCUUUUUGUUCUUGCUUAAAUUGCCUUUCUAGUAGGUGGUUGGAGCUAGAACCCAGACCACAGCUGCAGUCCCAAUGUGCUGUUGUAACAGUAUUAGCAUAUAAAGUAGAUAUCAUUGCAGAGUGCAGGGCUGAUUCCUACCGGCCCUAUGCGCUGUGAGUGUAGCGGGAAAGGUCCAUUUCAGUGUGCUUGGCACAGCAGGAACCUGCUGACUUGGCAGUACCUGCAGGAGACUCCGUGCUUUUCAGUGGUGGCUGCUCUACACUCCUGGAUUUUGCCGCCUUGCCAGCAGCACUGGGACCAGAACAAGCAGAGAAGUGUUUUCCAUGGAAAUCUUCUUUCCUAGAUUGAAUGACCCUUAUGCACUGUGUCUUUCCUGGUUGCACAGACAGGUCUGUACCAACAAGUGUUUCUCCUGAAGGAACCUAGAGCAUCUGGACAGGUCUGAGUGGGUCUGGUGUGGAAACGCAGUCCUGGGGAGCUCAGAUACAUGACAGUGCUUAUACAAGUAGUUAACCUAAGAAUAUUGACUACGCCUAUGCAUGUGUUUGCCCUAAUAGCACUGGUCUGAAUCCGAUAUACUUAUUGCCUCCAGAGGAGGCUGGCGGCCAUUUUGUCAGCCCAGAGCUGCUGCUGCAGCUAUGCAGCAGCUUCUUCACUGCUGGUUUCUCUCCAUGUAAACCUUCCUCCCUUACCACAUGUGCCCCCAGGCCCCUGUUUGCCACUCUUUGUCUUUUAGGGGGAAAAAGCCAAGUGUGGGAGGCUGGAUGUUGUUCCCUCUGCUGCCUGAGGGACCCUCUUGUGGCUUCCGGAAGGUUCCACAGAGCUUCCUGUCAGUGCCGUGGGACAGCCAGCGCCUCGCUUAUGACCUGUGGACGAGGGUGCUUCUGUGGCUGUCCAAAAAAAAAGGGAUAAAAAAAUGCUGGAAACAGCACAGCUGGAGAGCACGUAAUACUGCUGAAGAGAUGCAAAGAGAAGAUGCAGUUCUAUUAAGAGAUUUCAUGAGUACGCACAGCUAUGCAGGACAAAAGGACAACUUCUUCAUGAAAAGAAAUACUGUUGCUGGCUCAGACUUGGUGAGAGAAAGAGAUACGGAUACAUUGUAUAUCAGUGGAAGAAGACAUGAGGAAAGGACUCGCCUUCUCUUCUGACAACUGUCAGCUAGGUUUGUGCAAUGCAGCCCUUCAUGAGACCUGGAAGGAUGCUUGGUGGUAAACUGUCUUCAAGAAAGAACAGUUCAUUACAAAAAGCUUUAGAAUUUGUGCCUCCUUAACAGCCUUUCAGAUAAAAGGGACAGACCAGUCUUUCUUACGUGAUUUAAGUGAGAGUGCGAUCGCUGAAUAGAUCUGCAGGAUGGCAACAAGGAUGGAGAUUUAUAUAAGAGCCUUAAGAACAGAGGUUUAUAAUUAAUUAGUGGUGAAGCGUUGGGAAGG
rnacentral:lncRNA from 1 species